UACGUAGGUGGCAAGCGUUGUCCGGAAUCACUGGGCGUAAAGGGUGCGUAGGCGGGUCUUUAAGUCAGGGGUGAAAUCCUGGAGCUCAACUCCAGAACUGCCUUUGAUACUGAGGAUCUUGAGUUCGGGAGAGGUGAGUGGAACUGCGAGUGUAGAGGUGAAAUUCGUAGAUAUUCGCAAGAACACCAGUGGCGAAGGCGGCUCACUGGCCCGGAACUGACGCUGAGACGCGAAAGCGUGGGGAGCAAACAGG
rnacentral:rRNA from 1 species